AUGAUAGCCAUGUCCAAAUAUAUAAAAGGAUGUCAUAUAGAGGAGGGAGAAAGGUUGUUUUCUGCUGCUCCAGAGAAGUGGACACGGAGCAAUGGAUUCAAACUACAAGAAAGAAGAUUCCACCUAAACAAUAGGAAGAACUUCCUGACAGUAAGAGCUGUUCGGCAGUGGAAUUUGCUACCAAGGAGUGUGAUGGAGUCUCCUUCUGAGGUCUUUAAGCAGAGGCUUGUCAGGCACAUGUCAAUAAUGCUUUGAUGGUGUUUCCUGCUUGGCAGGGGGUUGGACUGGAUGGCCCCUGUGGUCUCUUCCAACUCUACGGUAUGAUUCUAUGAUUCUACUCUGAGUAGACAUGUAUUGGAUAACUGUCAAUCAAUUUGCUUUUCUUGGCAUCCUGCCAGCUCCUGACAUGAAUCCUAGCCAUCUUACUAGCCUAGAGUAGUAUGUAAAUAUAGUGGUUUUCCCAAGUUACCAUUUCAGAAAUUAAAUUUCUCAUGUUUCUGUAGUACUUAUUGUCUCUGUGUCUUAUUGUCUCUGAUGGAUUAUUUAAUUUAUCAUACACUUACCUGAUUUACAGUGGAAAUUAUGUUGUUUCAACCUAUCAUGUACAAGACAAAUACAAAAAGAGAAAACAUAUGGGGUUUCUCUGAUUUAUAGAUUUUUUUACUGUCACCUGUAGAUGGCAUUAUAAGGUGCCUAACACUUUGAAAUAAUCUCCUUCGUUGAUCACACCAAUUUCCUUUCACCUGUUGUCUUAAAGCAGCUAUUUGCUUGAUGUUCCAGAUUAUCCAUCUAAAGCUGACUCAGGAUAAGUUCAUUUCACCCCAUUGCACUGUGACUUUUGCUGCCAAAACAUAUUAGGAUCCAUCGGAAUAUAUGGUGUCUAAAGAAGUAUGGUGUGAAAUAGACUCCUUGAUCACAACACAUCAGGAUUUUUGGGCUGGUUGUACAAGUUUGAAAAGAAGAUCUGGCUACAACUGUGUUCAACCUGCAUACAGGUGACUGUCCAGCAACUUGUCUGAGUUCUCAGCCACAACUCAGGUAGAAAACUCCAAAGGUCAGGCAAAUUCCCAAUGUUUGGCAACAUGAAGAUCAUCUAUAGGAUCCUUGUACGCAGCUUGGCCAGUGGUCAGAAAUGAUGGGUGUUGAAAUCCAAUGGAAUCUGGAGGUCACAGGUUCCCCAUCUCUGUGUCCUAAUGCUAACCAUUAAAAAAACCUUGAAGAGACUUUCACGGAUUGUAUGAGCAGACCACUUGACCAACAGUGGGUAUAUUUUGAAUUCAAUUAUAGUAAUUAAUUAUUGCAAGCCUUUUAUGUGGCUGUUGUCCUUCAUCCAGAUGCAAAACCUUCUCUUGUUCCUGGCAUGCUUGUCCACUGCAGUGGAGGACAGGCAUGGCUGGAUUUUCAGGCUGUUCCACAUGCUACAAUUUGGAAUGAGGUAGCUGAAACCAAACAAUGGAUCCCAUGGAAGAACAUGACAAUGGGAGGGACAACACCACCAAUUUACAUAUGAUACCACUUAAGUUGAGAAACAGCUGUUAGCUUUUUCUGUGCUUUUCCCAUACUGUUUACAAAAUAAGCUCAAGGAAGUUUGGCCGUUGCUACUUUUCCUCAGUUACUUUCAAAAUUUUCUUAGAAAAAGUGACAAUAAGUGUUUGCUUUUUCAUUUUUAUCCUUUACAUUCUCAUUAGUCUUCCAUGUGUGACCUGAAAGAAAGCUGGCAGAGGGUACUAGAACUGAUUGGCCCAUGCCCUCUGCAAACUAUAGAAGGCUCUGGUCUGUUAGUUAUUUGAUUCAUUUUAUGCUUGUCGGGUGCCUCUGUAAUAAACCUAUCUGUCACUCUAUAGAAUUCAAUAAAUUAAAGAGAGAAGAUAGUCUAAAACAAUUCAACACACUUCUGUUCACUUUGAAAUCACAGACAAAAGAUACUCAGUGUAGAAUUUGUUUUGGAAGGAAAAAUAAGGUUUACUUUUGCUUCUGGCAGCAUAUAUCCUUC